GCCGAAGUGGUGGAACGGUAGACACGCUGGUUUCAAAAACCAGUAGGGGUAAACCCUGUGUGAGUUCGAAUCUCACCUUCGGCA
rnacentral:tRNA from 1 species